ACAAAGAUAAACAACUAAAAUUAUAUUCCGAGGUUUUAGUUUAGAAUAUAAGGAGAGAGUAAACUGUUUAACAUACCUUUUUCUACAUGACAUCUUUCUUCGAUACAAACGUUCCGCAGCAGUUGGAUCAGAAUAGAUGUAAAUCGUUAGAGAGCUCUUGGCCAAUAACAUCAUUUUCCACCUGAAGAAAAAUAGCAUAGAAGGGAACAUGCAAUGAUUUAUUUAUCGAGCUCAAUUUAUCAGUGAGUGAGACAUAUAUUACCAGGAGUUCAGCAAUUCUUUUCAACUAAGUUCUUCACCUCAGUCUGAUAACGGAAGGGCUGCAACCAAAGAAUCAAACUUCACCAAAACAAAAAAAAAUAAAACAAAAAAAAAUCAUGAUAGUAGAGAUACGUGUACGAUUCAUUAGUUCCAUACAACCACCAGAGUAUCCAAAAAAAAAAAACCGUAAGUGGAUUCACACGGGUCACCACAGUUGUAAUUAUCAAGAAAGAGAAUUUGAGUUUUCUAUCUCAAGAUUUUAAUCACAAAUCUUGAAUAAAAUUCAUAUUAAGAAAAACGUAUAUAGUUGUGUUUCCUCCAAACGCCAGACGCCAAAAACAGGAUUUUUCCUAAUCAUCAUCACUUAAUGGUCAAGAUCUUGAUUAGGGAAGCGUUCCCAACUCGGAGUAGAGCAACAACGGAGUCUCCAGUCUUGCACAGCUCCUUCUCUUUCCCCUGCUGAGUCGCAAACUCAAUAGCUUCUUCUGUCGAUUCAUCGUGCGAGGCUCUUGCCGACCCUGCGUACAGCACAGGGAUCAAACCGCGGAAGAUAAGACUAUGCCUCGCAGGUGAUUCGUCGCUGCAAGACCAGUCGAGCAAGUCGGUUUCGAUCUAAAAUAGCAGACGGAGAAGACGAAGAGAAAGGGAUCGAGAUUCGAUUUUGGGAAAAUUAGAAUUUGUCAUGCGUAACUGACGUGGCGGAGAGCUGUUCUCUGAUUGGAUGAUUUAAUUGUCCUACGUGGACACACUCUCUGAUGCUUAUAUAACCCUUUUAGUAUAGGUUAGAUUUCAGUUCCUUAUACGAAAGUUUAAUAUAUUUACAGAUAAUGUAAUUAUAGUAGAGUACCAUUAUAGUAACGUGUCUAUUUAUAGGCUAAUUAAAUGUGAAGAUUGCUAAAUCGAACAUAGCUAUGAACAAUAUUGUUUCUACAAGGCAAACACAUGAAAAUUUAUAUUAACAUAUAAAACAAUAUAGAACUAUGUGAAUGUUCAAAUAUAAUUUACAAAAUUUUAAGUUAAUUAACAUAAUAAAACGAACUUGAGAACAUUUUAAAUUAAUCAAAUAUAUGUUCACUAAUAUUAAUUAAGAUUUAACAGUUAAAGGUUAAGAUUUAGAUUUAGCUUUUAGGAUUUCUUUCUGAUAUCACACGGUAAUUUUAUUAUUCAAACAAAAAGUGGUAAAAAAAAUAAAUCGGGAUUAAAUAAUCAACAUAAAAAGUUGUUUGUAUUAAGAUCUUGCACUUCUAGCUAGAGAAUCAAUAGUUGUAUUCUGAUCUCGAAUAAUGCAGAAAAGCUUAAAAAGUUAAAUCUUCUUUGUAACGUCAUAAUCUCUUUCACCUAUGUCAAGAAGUUUGGACAUACUUGUGGUUCCAAAAUUAUGGUGAUCAAAUCUUUGUAGUCCUGUUCCAACGUUUUGAUACAUAGAAUGCCAUAAGAUACUCUCUAUUGUCCAAAUAGGUGUAUCUAGCUCCAAAUAUAUAAAGAAGACUCUCAUCUGCUUUGGUUCUUUGUUCCCAUUAUUUGGAUAUUUCCAGAUGUGGCUUUCGAAAGCCAUCAAUUGUGAGGUAAAAUUCCAAUAGCCAUCCACCAAAAAGAUGAUUUUUACGCAUACGACACGUUAUCAUACGUCUCUUCGCUCUAAGAAAGGAUCCCCAUAAAAAAGUCAUACAUACCCUUAUUUUAUCAAUGACUGCCUCAACAUCAGUCAUUCGAUAAAGAGAACAUUAAAUUGGAAAUCAUCCAUAAAUACAGAACUAAACUUUCGCUUUGGCCAAGUGACAUUAACGUAACAACUGAUCAAAUCCUAGAUCACUUUGUGUGCAGCAAAGAUUUCUUAUUUUUUUCUCUGAAAAAGGAAUAUAACUCUUAGACGAUGUUUCUGAUACAUCUCUUUUAGACUUUGGACUAUGAGGUCAUUCAUAAUCUCUCGAUAGUUCCAAUUAAGUGCCUUCAUAAACAAAAACAUGAUAAUGUCUUGUAUUCUACAAGACCAGUAUCAUUCACGCAUAAAUGAAUCUUCAUGUUAUGUUGUACCAUUAUUUAACUAGAAUUCGAAGAGAAUUAUUUAUUUUGUAUAACCGCUUUCUAACUAAAAAAAACUUUUAGGAUUUAGUAUUAAAAAUAUUGUUUAGUUACAAAAGUUUGAAUUCACUAAUCUUUAAUAAAGAUUUAACAUGUAUGGUUUAUAUUUUAGCGUUCAAGUUUUAUAGUUAUGUUGUGACAUGCCAAAUGCCUCCUUAGCUAGACGCCUUAUUAGCCCGGCCAAAUGUCUGUUUUGGAGAUCAAACGUUCUACUUAAUCCAGAUCUCUGUCACCAGAUGUCUAACCCCUCGCUUAUUAUGAUAUUGUUUGAUUAAGACGUAAAUCCUUACACAUUUAUUUACGAUCAGUUGCUCUCCAAAAAGCUUAGUUCUAAGUGGAGUUGAACUAUAUAUAUACUGUAUAUUAGACUUUCUCUGAUCUAAUACCCGAUGUAGGACUUUGUUUGCUUAUUUAUCCUAACAAUCCUUCUUUUCAACAAAAUACCAUGCAACCUUGGCUCUGAUACAAAUUAGUUGUGAUGGACCAUAUGCUUUCAGGGGUCAGACGUUGUAUCAUAUGCUAUUUUCUGUGAACUAGAUGCUCUUCUAGAGAUAUAUAGAUUUAUGUCACAAGAUGUCCAACCCUUCGCUUGAUAAGAUAUUGUCAGUUUUAGGCCUAGAUCCUUACGGAUUUGUAUUUGGGUCGGUUGUUCCUAAAUAUCCUCAUACUCAGUGAAGUUGGACAAGAAGUUGGACCAGAACUUGGAUUGAUUAUUUAUCCUAACAAGCAUCCUCUCAAAGCAAGCACCACAUAAUCUUGGCUCUGAUAUUAAUGUUAUAACGAACUAAAUUCUGUCAUGGACCAGACGUUCUACUAGAGCUAGACUAGAUAGUCGUGGUGGGGGGGGGGGGGGGGGGUGUGGGGGUUAGACACUCUAUUAGAUCCAGAUGUCCAUUAUCAAAUGUCCAAAUUUUCGCUUAGUAUUGCCCAAUCACUUACAGAUUUUUUCUUGGGUUAGUUGUUAACGAAACGGUCUCAUAUAUACUAAGUAGACUUCGAUUGUGAUCUAAUAUCAACUGUGAGACUUAAAUUGUUUAUUUUUCCUAAUAAUUCUUCUUUGAAAUCAAGAACCACAAAAAUUUGGCUCUAGCACCAAUUUGUUGGUGACGAACUAGGUGCUCUCUUGGAUCAAACACUCUACUAGAGUCAAACCAAAUGUUCAUACUAGCGAUCAAACAGAUGUUCGUGCACCAGAUGUCUAACUUUUUAAUUAGUAUGAUAUUGUCUCCUUUGAAUCUAAAUCCUUACGAAUUUAUUUUUGGAUCAGUUGCUUUCCAUAAAAUUUUAUUUUAAACUGAUUUUAUAUAUAUAUAUAUAUAUAAUUGGCUUUCUCUUAUUUAACAUCUGAUGUUGAAUUUAGAUUGUUAUUUAUUCUAACACUAAAAUAUAUUUCUACUAUUGUUAUUAGAAAAUUAUAUUAUUACACAGAGUAUUAACAUUUAUAUCCAAAUUAAAAUGCUAUGUAUUAGUAAUAUUAUAAGAGACUAGUUUUAUUUGCGAAAAAGACUAAAUCGUCAUCUUGUAAUUCAUUUUCGGUUGAGGUAGUUUAGAAAAUAUUUCUAGUCAAACGUCUUCUGCAAAAGUCCGUAAAAGAUCUAUGAUUUGAGUUUUGUCUCUUCUUCUUUUUUUAUUUGUUAGAGUCUAAAACCAUUAAUAUCCGCAAAGUAUUUUAAUCUCCUGCGUAACGAAUGAAACGGGUCACGUUACUCACACUAUGAAAUGCCUAUUCGAGCAUGUAAAAGGCAUAUAUAUUCACGCCUUUCUAAAUCCUAUAUCAACAAAGUACAACGAUCUUUGUUGAUAUACUUCUCAUCAUUUUCCUUUUCAUUUUUAGUUUCAUUAUUUAGAAAUUUAGAUUACAGACUUACAAAGUUGACACGAUCUAUUUAUAUCAUCAUAUUGAAAUCGAUUCCCAAUUCCACAAAAGUUGGAAGCUAGAGGCGGAAAUGGAGGCAACCAAUGGGAUGAUGGAGCCGAGCAUGAAGGUGUAUCAAAGAUCUAUAUACGUGAGGGUCGUAAUGGCAUAGAGUCCAUCAAGUUUGACUAUGUUAAGAAUGGAGAACCUAAAGAUGGACCAAUCCAUGGUGGCUCGGGUCAAAGUUUCACCGAGUCGUUUGAUCUUAACCAUACUAUUGAUGAACAUAUCGUAUCAAUUAAGUGUUACUACGACGAGGGCGUGAUACAAGGUCUUGUGAUCAACAGGGCCGGCUCAUUGGGGGGGGGGGGGGGGGGGAAAGCGGUGCGACCGCCCGGGCUCAAGCCCGUGUCCCCCCGUAUAAUACUAAUUAAGGGGCCCAAUUUUUUAUAAAUUUAUAUUUUUAUAUAUAAAAAAUUAUAAAUAUAAUAAAUAAAAUUGAAAGGGGCCCAAAAUUAUUUGAUAUGUAUAUGAAUUUAUUUUCAUUACAAAAUAUACAAAAUAUUACUGAUUAAAUUUUAAAAAUAUUUUAAACAUUAUCUGUAUAUAAAUUUUAGAGGGUAAAAAAAAAAUUUCUUGCCCUAGGGCUCCUAACCGUGUUGAGCCGGCGCUGGUGAUCAAAACCAACAUCAGGACUUCUGCACUCAUGGGAUACAACCUUGGUACAAAGUUUAAACUUGGAGUCAAAGGCAAGAAAAUCAUUGGGUUCCAUGGAUCUUCUGACAAAAACCUAAACUCUCUUGGAGCUUAUUUCACGACGCUUUCUCCUGAUAAUUUGGAUGUCUAAAAGUUCAGCGGAAAAGCUACAUAUGAGCCCUCAAACGUUUUAUUUAUGUUACUUUGAAUCUUUACUAAUUAUAUCAUCUUUCAUGUUGUUUUGGCGUGCCUUCAGGUUAUUCAAUCUCUUGCAAAUUGCAAUAAAGCAAUGUGUAUUUUUUACCAGAUCAAUUCGAUUUCUCAUAAUAAAAGAAUAGUUAUGUCAUUUUAUAUCACUAUUUUGAGUUGUU